GCGCGGAUGGCGGAAUUGGUAGACGCGCUAGCUUGAGGUGCUAGUGGGUAACACCGUGGGGGUUCGAGUCCCCCUUCGCGCACCA
rnacentral:tRNA from 2 species